rnacentral:rRNA from 1 species
UACGAAGGGGGCGAGCGUUUGUUCGGAAUUACUGGGCGUAAAGGGCGCGUAGGCGGCGACCCAAGUCAGAUGUGAAAGUCCUGGGCUUAACCUGGGGACUGCAUUUGAUACUGGGUUGCUUGAAUUCGGGAGAGGAUAGCGGAAUUCCCAGUGUAGAGGUGAAAUUCGUAGAUAUUGGGAAGAACACCGGUGGCGAAGGCGGCUAUCUGGACCGACAUUGACGCUGAGGCGCGAAAGCGUGGGGGAGCAAACAGG